rnacentral:rRNA from 1 species
AUGAUUGAAGCCGAGCUCAACCAUCUUUGUCAGUGCGUGUGGGAUUGGCAGGUGACUCCGACCUCCGACAACUCAUUCACAAUGAUCUUUCCGGAUGCUAUCAGCUUGGGCUACUGCACCCACAGCGGAGACAUCACCUUGACCCUCAACAAACUGGUGGUCGACAUCUCUGAGCCGAAGUUCGAUCCCAAGGCGGUGGCAGUCCUGGACAUGGCUUGGAUCCUCAUUGCGGGGCUCCCCGACGUCGCGCGAUCCGAGCGGGUGAUUCGCAAUAUGUCCAAGAUCCUCGGCAAGGUGGUGGUGGUGGUCGAUGAGAUCUCUCUACGGAAGGAGGAGGAGGUCCAGGUCAAGGUCAAAUGCCUGGACUCCUCCAAGCUUCGCGCCACCGUCCGUGUCUUCUUCAACGUCCAGGGAUUCGACCUCAAGAUCGGCCCGAGCCCCCAACCACGUCGGCCACCCCCACUACUCUGA